AAGUUCGAAAACCAAGAGAACAAUUUAUAAUACACCUCCUCCUGUCUCCUGUAAUUUAAAAAAAUUAUUGGAAUUAACCAACUACCGCACCGAUAGCAUAGUGUUAAUUAGCACCCAUUUUCACGUGAGAUAGCACCCUUAGGCAAUUGCUUACAAUGAGGAAAUCUUAUUUGGACAAAUGUACCUACUUGAGCGAGACACGUUAGUGUGUUGUUGGAGGGCGAGAGUCCUAAAAUGUAAAGCAGCAGCAGCUGUCAACUUCAUCACUGCCCCUUCUGCACAUAUAAAGCUGAACAAUAUAUGGUCAACAACCACACCAAAGGUCAACAACCACAUCAAAGGUCAUGCUUCAGUGAGGCACAGAGAGGUCACAAUCAUAAAGCGUGGCUUUCGUUGUUGCACGGCAACAAUAAUCAACAGCACAGUUUCUGAAGCACCUGACAUACCAUCAGUAUCCUAGGUUACAAUCCCCCACUACGGUUGUAUGAUGGCCUGGAUGAAGAAUAUUCUCCUCAAGGAACCAUUCAUGUUCUCGUUCCAGUUACAGAGACAUUAUGAGAUGUUCUAUGUGGAGGCAGUUGACUACAAUAAAAUGACUGUCUGCCUCUUUAGAGGAGCAAGAGUGAAGCCAUUUUUGAGGAGUGGUCAAACCUUGUUUUUCUCUGCUGUGUUAAUUGUUUCAAUUGUUAAUUGUGUU